UACAGAGACCUCAAGCGUUAUCCGGAAUCAUUGGGCGUAAAGCGUACCGAUAGGUGGUUUAGAAAGUUUUGGGUAAAAGCCAGAAGCUCAACUUCUGAGUUUGCUCAAAAUACUUCUCAACUAGAGGGGCAAAGAGGUCCUUGGAACGAACGGUGUAGUAGUGAAAUGCGUUGAUAUCGUUCGGAACACCGAAAGCGAAGGCAGAGGACUGGGUGCCCCCUGACACUACUAGGACGAAAGCGUGGGGAGCGAAUGGG
rnacentral:rRNA from 1 species